AAUUGAGGGGGGCUGCUCCUAGUACGAGAGGACCGGAGUGGACGCAUCACUGGUGUUCGGGUUGUCAUGCCAAUGGCACUGCCCGGUAGCUAAAUGCGGAAGAGAUAAGUGCUGAAAGCAUCUAAGCACGAAACUUGCCCCGAGAUGAGUUCUCCCUGAGACCUUGAGUCUCCUGAAGGAACGUUGAAGACGACGACGUUGAUAGGCCGGGUGUGUAAGCGCAGCGAUGCGUUGAGCUAACCGGUACUAAUGAACCGUGAGGCUUAACCUUACAACGCCGAAG
rnacentral:rRNA from 1 species